UAACUUGAUAGGGCCCGAAGUAAUCGAGGC
rnacentral:piRNA from 1 species